UCCCUAGUAGUCCAGUGAUUAAGAUUCUGCGCUUCCAUCGCAGGGAGCAUGGGUUCAAUCCCUGUUUGAAGAA
rnacentral:tRNA from 1 species